GGCGGGUUGGCGCAAUGGUUAGCGCGCUAGUUUCCGGUCCGGGAAAUGGUUUCCCAAUCGUUGCUAGAGGUUGGGAGUUCGACUCUCCCACUCGUCG